rnacentral:lncRNA from 1 species
CUUGGCCCCCUUCCCACUUAUUCUUAUCUAUGGAACUAUGGAGCCCAAUCUAUGGAACUAAGGAGUUACAGAAUUGCACUCGGUAGUCAAAGAAUGAAUAUGGUUACCGCUAUUCUUCAUCUAUAGUCCUAAUCAGUAGGCGUAGUGGUUCAGUUGCAUCUGUAUUAGUUGACUCCGGUGUAUUAGUUGACAUAGGUAGAGGAGAGGAUAAGAGGCGGAGUCGGUAGAGUGGAAAGAGC